AUGAAUCACACACCUGCACAAGCGAGUCCCCUCCCGGAACGAGGCAUCUGCUCCGAAGUCUGCAGUGCUCAGUUGACUGAGACAAGGGACUACAACCCACCUGUUGACAGCGAUAUCACUACAGUCCUCAGAAACAGUUCAAAAGACUCCAGAGAGCUUGCGGCAGCGUUAGUCGAGGCUAGGCAGGAAUCUAUCGGUGUGAACUUCCUCACAGCGGUGCCAGCCCUGACUCCAGAAACGGCAGCUUCUCCAGAAGCAGCAUUACAUCCUGAAGAAGGCACUUCCCCAGGACAGAGGUAUUGGGAAAUUCUCAUUUCAGCCUCCUGCUACCUCUGGGCUUCCUGGCAGAAGGGUCCCYUUAGCAUCCAUGGCUUCUCCAGCAAUGCAGCUGCAGUAGCGAAAGCCGGGGCUCUUGCUCACCCAGCCAUAUGGCCUCUGGGCUGYGGUUUGGCUUUGAUGGUAUCAAACAGGAGCAGCAUAUUCUGGGGGAUUAAAAAAAAAAAAAAGUCUAGAUUAAAAUGUUGUAGUUGCAGUAAGCAAGGGCCUAGCUGCUUAGUUAGGUAACAAAAAGCAAUAUUUCAGUACCAGACUUUGAAAUCCCUGGGCUCAGCUCGGUCUCGUGCUGUCCCUGUCCUUGUAGUUCUGACAAAGAGAGAUGCAUCUAAGAAGAAGGUUUUCAGUCUACAGCACUGUAUGUCCCCAAAAUGUCAGAAGUACAAACAAAUCCAUGCCAGGGCUGCUCCUCACAGCCCCCCGUCUGGCUUUGAGCCCCGUCCUGGCCACAGCUGCGCCGGGGAGGAACGGCAUUGCUAUUUUACCUGUUUUGCUGCUUGCGUUCCAAAGUCAUGAGACACUUUGAAUGCCAUAAACUUAACAAAAUUAAAUUCCAGUGUGGAACAAUGCCACUUACGGAAAAGAGACGGAUAUGAUUCUAGCUUUAGUUCUUUCGCUCAGCACCUAGCACCCGUGCUUAUAAACAAACACCAACAUCUUUCUUUCAGAGCGUAACAUGCUUUAUUCCCAUUUCUCUCUGUAUUCAUCUGUCACUUGCUUUCUUUGAAGUAAGUAUGAGAAAACGACCAUCUAGUGGUGAUUUUAGGACUGGCUUUAAGGAGUGGGUUGUAGUAGGGCUGUUCAGGGAUUUGUGGAUACAAGAAGCAGAGCGUGGGGAACUACAAGAUGGGAUGCAGAAGGAGCUGGUUACAGGAAGACAGAUGUGAAGAUAUUUGUGGUGAUAUAAAAAUCCAGGGAUGACUAAAGGUCCAAGGGUAAGAACUGUGGAAAUUCUGUCAUGGGAAGGGAUGAUGAUUCUGUUUUCAUGAGUGAAGAAAUUAAUGUGAAGCCCUGUACAAAAAUGUGAGCAGUGUUUUGUGACAGGCAGGAAUUUAUUCCUGCAGGAGGCCAAGUUGAGCCUGGGUUGAGCCUUGGUCACAGGUGCGGUCGGGUCCAGGAUUGCAGUAGAAGGCUGCAGGUGCUGUGACACCAGUCUGCUACACGUUGCAAUUAGAAGAGAGCAACAGCGCAGCAGACAAUUUAUUUAAUCCCAGAACUUCUCUCCAGCCCACACAGCCCACUGUGAAACAGUUAAAACAGUAAUUUUGCAGUACAUUCCAGGAGGGGAGCGCAGUGAUGCAGAUCUGCAGCAGUAGUGCACUGUGAUCCAGCAGCGCCGGUGUUUCUUGUCCCAGCUGUGCAGAUGUGAAACAUCAUCCCGUUGUUCCACAGUGGUGCAGUGAUACGGUUGCAUAUGCAGAGCGCUACAGUGGUACGRUCAGAUGGGCAGGAAACAUUGCAGGGAUGACUUCACGGAGUAUGUCAUUAUUGCAGUAGCAGCGGAAAGAAGCAGCCCAGGACUACAGGGUUGUGUCGUAGGCAGGCAGAUUUGUAGCGGUGCUGGGGAAAACACAGAGCAAAGGCAGAAGUGCAGUGUUUAUGUAACUAGCACGGCAAUACAGUGCACUGUGGGUGUGUGCUCCAGAAGAAUGCUAAGGCACGGCACUGCCCGGAUACGGUAUGCAAUAAUAUUUUAUUAAUUAGGCUCAUGCUAUAUUGGUGCAGUGAUGCUUUAAUGUAAUAAAACAGUAAUACUCUUUGAGGGCA
rnacentral:lncRNA from 1 species